rnacentral:rRNA from 1 species
CUACGGGCGGCUGCAGUGGGGAAUAUUGCACAAUGGAGGAAACUCUGAUGCAGCAACGCCGCGUGGAGGAUGACACUUUUCGGAGCGUAAACUCCUUUUAUAUAGGAAGAAGAUGACGGUACUAUAUGAAGAAGCACCGGCUAACUCCGUGCCAGCAGCCGCGGUAAUACGGAGGGUGCAAGCGUUACUCGGAAUCACUGGGCGUAAAGAGCGUGUAGGCGGAUUAAAAAGUCAGAAGUGAAAUCCUAUAGCUUAACUAUAGAACUGCUUCUGAAACUCUUAAUCUAGAAUAUGGGAGAGGUAGAUGGAAUUUCUGGUGUAGGGGUAAAAUCCGUAGAGAUCAGAAGGAAUACCGAUUGCGAAGGCGAUCUACUAGAACAUUAUUGACGCUGAGACGCGAAAGCGUGGGGAGCAAACAGGAUUAGAUACCCUCGUAGUC